rnacentral:rRNA from 1 species
UCCCAGCAGUCCAAGUCGCAGCCACAAUUAUUGGGUCUAAAACAUCCGUAGCUUGCCUUUCAAGUCUCUUGUGAAAUCUGAUAUCUUAAAUAUCGGGCGAGCAAGAGAUACUGUUUGGCUAGAGACCGGGAGACGUAAGGAGUACAGAUAGGGUAGCGGUAAAAUGCGUUGAUCCUUUCUGGACUAACAAUAGCGAAGGCACCUUACGAGAACGGAUCUGACAGUGAGGGAUGAAGGCUAGGGGCGCAAAGUG